ACAAUGUCCACACCAAGGAGCAUAUAACUCAAGAAGAACAUCUUUUGAUUCAUCCAAAACAAUUUCGUCAAAGUUAUUGCCAACCACAAUUUUGACAUCCCCAUCAUUAGUCUCAGGAAUUGGAUCAGAUUUGUAGAAAGGCUUUAAAUUGUCUUCCAAAAACUUCUCCCCAAAUGACUUGACACCAUCCAAGGUUAUUUCACCUUCCAGUAUAAACUUCCUCCCAUCCUCAUUUCCUGUAUAUGCGAGAACUCUUGGGGCAUCACCGCUAACACCAAAGUACUCUGAAACUGGUUUUCCAACAUCUUCGUUGUCGAUUUCAACAAACACACAGAUAAGCUUUCCUUUAAAAGCUUUCACAGCUUCUUGAAAUAUUGGUAAGAAUUUUUCUGAAUCUUUCGAAGUGGCAAAAAGUAUCAACUGCUUCGUAAUGGGAUUUUCAAAUAUCUCUGAGGCACUUUCCCGAGUAAAAUUGGUGACAAGAGGAAGCUUGUUCUCAAAAACAAACUUAGCUAUUGCUGACUUGGUGAAUUCACCAUCAAAGUGGUUGAUAUUCUCGGCUUCUUUCUUAAUUAUGACAAGAGCUGGACGUUGGGCUUGAGAAUCAAUAUGGAAGAGUUUUGCCACAUCUGGAUUGGCAGUCUGAUAGAAGUUGACAUCAUCUUCUAGUGCAGCAGCUGCAGCAAGCUCUUCACUUUUAUCACCCACCAAAUCAUUCAAAUAACCCAACACUACUUUUUUCUCAUCUUUCAAGAUUUGUUCUGCCUCCUCUACAGUCGUUAUAUUGGAUAGAACAGGCCCGGUCUUCUUUUUUAUCCAUGAAAUAAUAGCAUCCUUAUUCCUUUCACCAUUAUAGGUCUUGUGAACACCAUCAAUGAGGAAGAAAACAGUGGGAUACCCUUGCACAUCAUACUUUUGAGCAAGUUCAGCUUCCUCAGUAGCAUCUACUUUAGCAAGCAUCACAUUCUCUCCUUUCAGCUCAGUCGCGGCUGCAGCAUACUCCGGUGCAAGUGCCUGACAAUGACCACACCACGGCGCAUAGAACUCAACCAUAACAUACUUAUUCUUCGAAAUAAAUUCACUAAAAUUCCCUUCCUUCAAUACAGCCACAUCCUUCUCAUCCACUGCUGGCGGCUCAUACGAGUCUUCUCCGUGAUCGGAAGAAUCGUCCUCGAGAUCUUCGUAGUUCUCAAAAUCGUGGUGGUCACCAUAUGGAUUGGAAUCUGAAUGAGCAUCGGAAUCCUCUUCUUCAAGGAAACUGAGAUCCUCUUCUUCUUCAACAACAGAAGAGAAAGCAGUUCUGAAGAAGAUGAGAUUGAGUAGAAAAAUGGAGAGAAUUAGAUAUUUCUUCAUCGCCAUUGCUGAAGCAAGUUGAAA
rnacentral:misc_RNA from 1 species